CUGUAAAGGAUUUGUGGACGCAGUGGGCUAAUACGUGUGUGUGACAGAUGAACAGUUCAAACGUGAAUGUGGGAGAGGUGACUUGGAAAUUUGUCUACAGACACGUGACCAAACCUUCACCACAGGAGCGAGGUAAAGGUACUUCUUCAGAUUGUGCUGAUGUUUAAGAUCUUUCAGAGCCUUCAUACAGGGCACUACCUGGAAUGCUUCAUGGUGCAUGGCUGGCUGUUACAUGAGAGUGGUUGUGCACGUGAUUCUCCCUACCAAUGGGCCUCGGGUGACCUUUCUUGCUACAGGCUGUCGGUGGGAGUGCAAAGCAACAACACGAAAGCGGAAUGUGGAGAGCGGCAGGCGUGACCAGGGACUGUGGCCGCGGACUCGGUUCACCACGACGGAACGGCCACCUGCGUGGGACGGGGAUGGACGGGGGAAAGCAGCCCGCGGUUGUAUUCUCCUCCUGUGAGCUGUCCGUCGGGCUCCGUUCCAAGAGGCCAAGCCACCGGAGUGGUCCGCAGCUGUGAGAACGAGCAAGCUCUUCAGUGUGAGCCGCCGUAUGAAAGUCGCUGUGCUGGGCUCGUCCAGAGGAAAUGGCCUGUCGUGGACUGAGCUG